rnacentral:lncRNA from 1 species
CUGCAGUCAUCUUGGACCUUUUAAACACAAAUUUUAAACUCAACCAAGCUGUGAUAAGUGGAAUGGUUACUGUUUAUACUGUGGUAUGUUUUUGAUUACAGCAGACAAUGCUUUCUUUUCCAGUCGUCUUUGAGAAUAAGGAAAAAAUCUUCAGAUGCAAUGGUUUUGUGUAGCAUCUUGUCUAUCAUGUUUUGUAAAUACUGGAGAAGCUUUGACCAAUUUGACUUAGAGAUGGAAUGUAACUUUGCUUACAAAAAUUGCUAUUAAACUCCUGCUUAAGGUGUUCUAAUUUUCUGUGAGCACACUAAAAGCGAAAAAUAAAUGUGAAUAAAAUGU